rnacentral:rRNA from 1 species
UAGGGAAUUUUCGUCAAUGGGCGCAAGCCUGAACGAGCAAUGCCGCGUGAACGAGGAAGGUCUUCGGAUCGUAAAGUUCUGUUGAAGGGGAAAAAGAGCGGAGAGAGGAAAUGCUUUCUGAUUGAUAUUACCCUUCGACGGAAGUCACGGCUAACUACGUCGCC